UACGUAGGGGGCAAGCGUUGUCCGGAAUCAUUGGGCGUAAAGAGCGUGUAGGCGGCUCGAUAAGUCUGUUCUGAAAGUCCAGGGCUCAACCCUGGGAUGCGGAUGGAUACUGUCGAGCUCGAGUCCGGAAGAGGCGAGUGGAAUUCCUGGUGUAGCGGUGAAAAUGCGCAGAUAUCAGGAGGAACACCAAUGGCGAAGGCAGCUCGCUGGGACGUGACUGACGCUGAGACGCGAAAGCGUGGGGAGCAAACAGG
rnacentral:rRNA from 1 species